rnacentral:rRNA from 1 species
UGGGGAAUUUUGGACAAUGGGCGCAAGCCUGAUCCAGCCAUGCCGCGUGCGGGAAGAAGGCCUUCGGGUCGUGAACCGCUUUUGUCAGGGAAGAAAUCUUCCGAGUUAAUACCUCGGGAGGAUGACGGUACCUGAAGAAUAAGCACCGGCUAACUACGUGCCAGCAGCCGCGGUAAUACGUAGGGUGCAAGCGUUAAUCGGAAUUACUGGGCGUAAAGCGUGCGCAGGCGGUUUUGUAAGACAGAGGUGAAAUCCCCGGGCUCAACCUGGGAACUGCCUUUGUGACUGCAAGGCUUGAGUGCGGCAGAGGGGGGAUGGAAUUCCGCGUGUAGCAGUGAAAUGCGUAGAUAUGCGGAGGAACACCGAUGGCGAAGGCAAUCCCCUGGGCCUGCACUGACGCUCAUGCACGAAAAGCGUGGGGGAGCAAAACAGGAUUAGAUACCCCUGGUAGUCCACGCCCUAAACGAUGUCAACUGGUUGUUGGGAAGGUUCCUUCUCAGUAAACGUAGCUAACGCGUGAAGUUGACCGCCUGGGGAGUACGGCCGCAAGGUUGAAACUCAAAUGAAUUGACGGGGUCAUAGCUGUUUCCU